CAGGCACCACCCCGAGUGUCGCCGGUGUUUAAAUUUUACUCAACGACCCUAAACUCAUGCGGAGCUCACACCGUAAGGAUUGACAGAUUGAGAGCUCUUUCUUAAUUCGACGGGUGGUGGUGCAUCAUCGUUCUUUGUUGGGGGACAGAUUUGUCUGGAACAUUCAGAUAACGAACACGACUCUGACCUAUUAAAUACGCGUGGUGGAUGCAAAACUGCUCGACUGGAUCGAAGCCAACGUCGACUUUGCCACCUCGAUGAAUGAUCGGAUCACCCCUGUGACCACCCACGAGGAGCGAGGAAUCGCCCAAGAUCACCACGGCUACGUCGACGCCUCUCCGGAGCCCACGGAGCCUUUCAUGGAUUGGGUGGUGUCGGUCUGUUUUGCCGGCGGCCGGGCACGCUGAUUAGAUGCCGGCGCUCUGCUCGUAGAUGAUGAUGCGCCUUUCAAGCUCGCAAGUUGUGGCUGCUGAACGGCUCCCACUCGAUGCUGGCCUACUACGGAAGCGUCCGUGGACA
rnacentral:rRNA from 1 species